rnacentral:rRNA from 1 species
UACGGAGGAUGCAAGCGUUAUCCGGAUUUAUUGGGUUUAAAGGGUGCGCAGGUUGUUUGAUAAGUCAGUGGUGAAAGUCUGUCGCUUAACGGUAGUCUUGCCAUUGAUACUGUUUCUCUUGAGUAUGGAUGAGGUAGGCGGAAUGUGCAGUGUAGCGGUGAAAUGCAUAGAUAUUGCACGGAACACCAAUUGCGAAGGCAGCUUACUGGGCCAUUACUGACGCUCAGGCACGAAAGCGUGGGGAUCAAACA